rnacentral:rRNA from 1 species
UACAGAGGUCCCAAGCGUUGUUCGGAUUCAUUGGGCGUAAAGGGUGCGUAGGCGGCGCGGUAAGUCGGGUGUGAAAUCUCGGAGCUUAACUCCGAAACUGCAUUCGAUACUGCCGUGCUUGAGGACUGGAGAGGAGACUGGAAUUUACGGUGUAGCGGUGAAAUGCGUAGAUAUCGUGAGGAAGACCAGUGGCGAAGGCGGAUCUCUGGACAAAUCCUGACGCUGAGGCGCGAAGGCUAGGGGAGCAAACGGG